UACAGAGAGUGCAAACGUUGUUCGGAAUUACUGGGCUUGAAGCGCACGUAGGCGGCGUUGUAAGUGUCGGGUGAAAUCCCCACGGCUCACCCGUGGAACUGCCCGGCAUACUGCGAUGCUAGAGUGUGGUAGGGGAGAGCGGAACUCCUGGUGGAGCGGUGAAAUGCGUAGAUAUCAGGAGGAACACCGGUGGCGAAGGCGGCUCUCUGGUCCACAAACUGACGCUGAGGUGCGAAAGCUAGGGGAGCAAACGGG
rnacentral:rRNA from 1 species